AGGAGAUGCCUGCCUUAAGUCUAAAGACUCUGACAGGUUUGGGAAUAUCUAAAAUUCCGUAGUCUCCUGGUGAUCUAUUUGCAGGAGAGUCAAGGCUCUCCUGAGAUGAAGUCAGCCUAAGGGGAGAGGGAGCAGGUUCUGAGCUGGACCAGUAACAGCGUGGUCCUGGAUCACUAAGGGCGAAUUGUGCUCCUGAGUCGUGAAGGGAAGUCUGCAUCUUGCCGGGACAGAGGAAUCGUGCAAACACCUAAGAGAUGGUGUACUCAAAACCCUAGGCACCAAGGAUCUACUCCUGAUGCAGGACCUUGGGAGGAACAUUUGGAUCCAAGAGAAAAAGGCCUGGUGUGUAAUCUCAAGAGCAACCCUCCUUUCUCUUAGCUGCCCGGAGAGAAGGCGCCAUGACAGCUCCUUUCCCUCGUGUAGCACAACGCCCAUUCUUCUGCGGCCUGUGACGUCUCAUCCCUGCCCCCCGCCACCCCGGCCUCUUGCCGCCCAAGAGCCCCAGAGCAAUGCCCAGCCAUUGCUGCUUCAUGUCACGCCAGGACCCUGGAGCGUCAUCCUCAGAGGAAUCCAGAUCCUGAUGGGGCUAUCCACGGGCUGGAUGUCUGGGCCACAUAUCAUGGUGCCUGAAAGCCCAGGAAGAAGGGGGCACGUGUAGAGGAGAGAAUCCUUGGGGGCAGGUAUCCACUGAGACGCCUCCCACAUUCGGCAGCAUCUCAUCUUUUAUGGGAUAUGGACGACUAUGGUAAUGGUGGAAAGACAGAGUUGGGCAGGAAAUCUGAAUGCUGUUAUAAUAUGGAGAGGGGACUUCUGCAUAUAAAUUUUGGGCAAGUUUA